GCGACCUUACGACGUUUGAAGCUCCGGUUCUCGUCUGAUCACUGAAGCUGAGCUGGGUCGGACUUGGUUAAUGUUUGGACGAGCGACCGGCUGGGUAAGCCAGGUUUCUCUGUC
rnacentral:rRNA from 1 species